rnacentral:rRNA from 1 species
GACGAACGCUGGCGGCGUGCUUAACACAUGCAAGUCGAACGGAAAGGCCCUGCUUUUGUGGGGUGCUCGAGUGGCGAACGGGUGAGUAACACGUGAGUAACCUGCCCUUGACUUUGGGAUAACUUCAGGAAACUGGGGCUAAUACCGGAUAGGAGCUCCUGCUGCAUGGUGGGGGUUGGAAAGUUUCGGCGGUUGGGGAUGGACUCGCGGCUUAUCAGCUUGUUGGUGGGGUAGUGGCUUACCAAGGCUUUGACGGGUAGCCGGCCUGAGAGGGUGACCGGCCUCAUUGGGACUGGGAUACGGCCCAGACUCCUACGGGAGGCAGCAGUGGGGAAUAUUGCACAAUGGGCGGAAGCCUGAUGCAGCAACGCCGCGUGCGGGAUGACGGCCUUCGGGUUGUAAACCGCUUUCGCCUGUGACGAAGCGUGAGUGACGGUAAUGGGUAAAGAAGCACCGGCUAACUACGUG